rnacentral:rRNA from 1 species
UACGGAGGAUGCAAGCGUUAUCCGGAUUCAUUGGGUUUAAAGGGUGCGCAGGCGGGGGAUUAAGUCGGCGGUGAAAUUUUGCAGCUCAACUGUAAAAGUGCCUUCGAAACUGGUUUCCUUGAGUGUAGAUGAAGUAGGCGGAAUUUGUGGUGUAGCGGUGAAAUGCAUAGAUAUCACGAGGAACUCCGAUUGCGCAGGCAGCUUACUAAACUACUACUGACGCUCAGGCACGAAGGCGUGGGGAUCAAACAGGAUUAGAUACCCGGUA